rnacentral:rRNA from 1 species
AGUGAACGCUGGCGGUAGGCCUAACACAUGCAAGUCGAACGGCAGCACAGUAAGAGCUCGCUCUUACGGGUGGCGAGUGGCGGACGGGUGAGGAAUACAUCGGAAUCUACUUUUUCGUGGGGGAUAACGUAGGGAAACUUACGCUAAUACCGCAUACGACCUACGGGUGAAAGCAGGGGAUCUUCGGACCUUGCGCGAUUGAAUGAGCCGAUGUCGGAUUAGCUAGUUGGCGGGGUAAAGGCCCACCAAGGCGACGAUCCGUAGCUGGUCUGAGAGGAUGAUCAGCCACACUGGAACUGAGACACGGUCCAGACUCCUACGGGAGGCAGCAGUGGGGAAUAUUGGACAAUGGGCGCAAGCCUGAUCCAGCCAUACCGCGUGGGUGAAGAAGGCCUUCGGGUUGUAAAGCCCUUUUGUUGGGAAAGAAAAGCAGCAGGUUAAUACCCCGCUGUUCUGACGGUACACAAAGAAUAAGCACCGGCUAACUUCGUG